rnacentral:rRNA from 1 species
CCUACGGGAGGCAGCAGUGAGGAAUAUUGGUCAAUGGACGAGAGUCUGAACCAGCCAAGCAGCGUGAAGGAUGAAUGCUCUAUGGGUUGUAAACUUCUUUUAUAUGGGAAUAAAAUGUUCCACGUGUGGGUUUUUGUAUGUACCAUAUGAAUAAGGAUCGGCUAACUCCGUGCCAGCAGCCGCGGUAAUACGGAGGAUCCGAGCGUUAUCCGGAUUUAUUGGGUUUAAAGGGAGCGUAGGUGGGUUGUUAAGUCAGUUGUGAAAGUUUGCGGCUAAACCGUAAAAUUGCAGUUGAAACUGGCAGUCGUGAGUACAGGAGAGGUGGGCGGAAUGCGGGGUGUAGCGGUGAAAUGCUUAGAUAUCACGAAGAACUCCGAUUGCGAAGGCAGCUCACUGGACUGCAACUGACACUGAGGCUCGAAAGUGUGGGUAUCAAACAGGAUUAGAUACCCCAGUAGUC